rnacentral:sRNA from 1 species
GCUCCCCCGAGCCGAGCCCGCCGCGGUCACAGUCACCCGCGGGAAGCUCGUGGCCGGGACCCCGAGGCGGGAGCGCGGGCUGGGCCGGGCUGGGCUACGCGCACGGGCUCGGCCGCCGCCCCUGCCGAAAACAGCCUUCCACAGAAGUCAGACGCUGGGCUACAGGAACGGCUAUGCAAUUGUUCGACGUCCAACAGUUGGGAUAGGCGGAGACCGGCUCCAGUUCAACCAGCUGUCCCAGGCUGAGCUGGAUGAGUUGGCCAGUAAGGCACCAGUCUUAACUUAUGGCCAACCUAAACAAGCCCCACCUGCGGAUUUUAUUCCUGCGCAUGUGGCCUUUGACAAAAAGGUACUGAAAUUUGAUGCCUAUUUCCAAGAAGAUGUUCCUAUGUCAACUGAGGAACAGUAUAGGAUCCGUCAAGUGAACAUUUACUAUUAUCUAGAAGAUGACAGCAUGUCUGUCAUAGAGCCUGUUGUAGAAAAUUCUGGAAUCCUUCAAGGCAAGUUAAUAAAACGCCAGCGGCUAGCCAAGAAUGACCGGGGUGACCAUUACCAUUGGAAAGACCUAAAUCGAGGAAUAAACAUCACAAUUUAUGGCAAAACUUUCCGCGUUGUUGACUGUGACCAAUUCACACAGGUAUUUUUAGAAAGCCAAGGAAUUGAAUUAAAUCCACCAGAGAAGAUGGCUCUUGAUCCUUACACUGAACUCCGAAAACAGCCUCUUCGUAAGUAUGUCACCCCAUCAGACUUUGAUCAACUCAAGCAAUUUCUCACCUUUGACAAACAGGUCCUUCGAUUCUAUGCAAUCUGGGAUGAUACAGACAGCAUGUAUGGUGAAUGUCGGACCUACAUCAUUCAUUACUAUCUUAUGGAUGAUACGGUGGAAAUUCGAGAGGUCCACGAACGGAAUGAUGGGAGAGAUCCUUUCCCACUCCUAAUGAACCGCCAGCGUAUGCCCAAAGUUUUGGUGGAAAAUGCAAAGAACUUCCCUCAGUGUGUGCUAGAAAUCUCUGACCAAGAAGUGUUGGAAUGGUAUACUGCUAAAGACUUCAUUGUUGGGAAGUCACUCACUAUCCUUGGGAGAACUUUCUUCAUUUAUGAUUGUGAUCCAUUUACUCGACGGUAUUACAAAGAGAAGUUUGGAAUCACUGAUUUACCACGUAUUGAUGUGAGCAAGCGGGAACCACCUCCAGUAAAACAGGAGUUGCCUCCUUAUAACGGUUUUGGACUAGUGGAAGAUUCUGCUCAGAAUUGUUUUGCUCUCAUUCCAAAAGCUCCAAAAAAAGAUGUUAUUAAAAUGCUGGUGAAUGAUAACAAGGUGCUUCGUUAUUUGGCUGUACUGGAAUCCCCCAUCCCAGAAGACAAAGACCGCAGAUUUGUCUUCUCUUACUUUCUAGCUACCGACAUGAUCAGUAUCUUUGAGCCUCCUGUUCGCAAUUCUGGUAUCAUUGGGGGCAAGUACCUUGGCAGGACUAAAGUUGUUAAACCAUACUCUACAGUGGACAACCCUGUCUACUAUGGCCCCAGUGACUUCUUCAUUGGUGCUGUGAUUGAAGUGUUUGGUCACCGGUUCAUCAUCCUUGAUACAGACGAGUAUGUUUUGAAAUACAUGGAGAGCAACGCUGCCCAGUAUUCACCAGAAGCACUCGCGUCAAUUCAGAACCAUGUCCGAAAGCGAGAAGCGCCUGCUCCAGAAGCAGAAAGGAUCUCGCUCUGUACCCAGGCUGGCAUGCAGUGCCAAUAGUGGAAUAAUAGCUCACUGCAGCCUCAAACUCCUGAGAUCCUCCUUGAGUUCAGCUUCCCAAGUAGCUGGAACUACAGGUGUACACCACUAUUCCUAGCUAAUUUUUAAAUUUUCAGUAGCGACAGGGGUCUCAGUUUGUUGCCCAGAACUCCUGGGCUCAAGUGAUUCUGCCUCCUUGGCCUCCCAAAGUGCUAGGAUUACAGGCGUGAGCCAUUGCUCCUGGCCUGGGUGAAAUCUCUAAAGGAGUUAAUGUAGCUAAAGAAAAGAAUGGCUCUAAGAACUAAGCUCUGGGGUCCACCAACGCUUACAGUUAAGGAGACUGAAAAGGAAAACGAAUAAAGCAGGAAGAAAAUGUGGUAUCCUGGAUGUCAAAUGAAGGGGUAGCGUAGGACUGUAAAAAAUAAGAUGCAAAACAAUUUUAAUAAUCAAAGGGAAAAUGUACAAUUGUUCUGUGCCCUUUAAAAAUUUUUGUCACUGCCAGGCGCGGUGGCUCAUGCCUGUAAUCCCAGCACUUUGGGAGGCCGAGGUGGGCGGAUCAUGAGGUCAGGAGUUCAAGACCAGCCUGACCAACAUGGUGAACCCCCGUCUCUGCUAAAAAUACAAAAAAAUUAGCUAGGCAUGGUGGUGCACACCUAUAAUCCCAGCUACUCAGGAGGCUGAGGCAGGAGAAUCACUUGAACCCAGGAGGCGGAGGUUGCAGUGAGCCAAGAUUGCGCCACUGCACUCCAGCCUGGGCGACAGAGCAAGUCUCCGUCUCAAAAAAAAAAAAAAAAUUUGUCACAGCAUUAAAAAUGUUAUGGUUGUAAAUGUAUAAGGACAUGAAAAAAUAGUAAAACUAAUUUUUACUUAGCACAUUGUAAUUUAAAACACUGAUAACAUUAAUAAUUAAAGUGUUUUAUUUCUUUAUAAAAACUUUAUCAAAAGUGGUUUGAGCAGCACUUGCCUACUUCUCAUUGUAUAACUUAUGAUGCAGACUGAACAUCUGUUCUGUGCCUUGGUGAAUU